rnacentral:rRNA from 1 species
GAUCCUGGCUCAGGAUGAACGCUAGCUACAGGCUUAACACAUGCAAGUCGAGGGGCAGCAUGACCUAGCAAUAGGUUGAUGGCGACCGGCGCACGGGUGAGUAACACGUAUCCAACCUACCGGUCAUUCCGGGAUAGCCUUUCGAAAGAAAGAUUAAUACCGGAUAGUAUAAUGAGAAGGCAUCUUCUUGUUAUUAAAGAAUUUCGAUAACCGAUGGGGAUGCGUUCCAUUAGUUUGUUGGCGGGGUAACGG